GUGACCUACGGGACGCAGCAGUGGGGAAUAUUGGGCAAUGGGCGCAAGCCUGACCCAGCAACGCCGCGUGAAGGAAGAAGGCUUUCGGGUUGUAAACUUCUUUUAUGAGGGACGAAAGAAAUGACGGUACCUCAUGAAUAAGCCACGGCUAACUACGUGCCAGCAGCCGCGGUAAUACGUAGGUGGCAAGCGUUAUCCGGAUUUACUGGGUGUAAAGGGCGUGUAGGCGGGACUGCAAGGCCGAUGUGAAAAUUAUGGGCCUAACCCAUAACCUGCAUUUGAAAC
rnacentral:rRNA from 1 species